GAAUGAGGGCAAUCUGCCUGUGACAUCCGUCACCCCACUGAUCGCCAGGGUUGAUGCGGCUGACCCGCUGGCGAGCCGGGUUUUCCCCUCGCCCCAACUCCACGAGCAUCCCUCCCGAAGCUGCAUCCUCAACCAUGGACACCCUUCCCCGAGCCGGGAGGACCGUUCUUCAAUCAAAGGUAUGUGAGUAGCUGCACCCUCCUGCUAGAACCUCCACACACGCUCUCAAGAGAGAUACUUUUACACUCCAUUUAUUCAGCUAGGAUGGGGAAUCUCCUGGACAUCAGCUCGUUCUGC
rfam:Sus scrofa isolate TJ Tabasco breed Duroc chromosome 4, whole genome shotgun sequence.